rnacentral:misc_RNA from 1 species
UACGGAGGGAGCAAGCGUUAUCCGGAUUUACUGGGUUUAAAGGGUGUGUAGGCGGAUAUUUAAGUCAGAGGUGAAAUAUCCGAGCUCAACUCGGAAACUGCCUUUGAUACUAUUUAUCUUGAAUUUCGUUGAGGUUGGCGGAAUAUAUCAUGUAGCGGUGAAAUGCAUAGAUAUGAUAUAGAACACCGAUUGCGAAGGCAGCUAGCUAAACGAACAUUGACGCUGAGGCACGAAGGCGUGGGUAGCGAACAGG